UGCUGACUUAGCUCAGUUGGUAGAGCAAUUGACUAGUAAUCAAUAGGUCGAAGGUUCAAAUCCUUUAGUCAGCACCAG
rnacentral:tRNA from 1 species